UACGUAGGGGGCAAACGUUGUCCGGAUUUACUGGGUGUAAAGGGUGCUCAGGCGGUUUUGUAAGUCAGAAGUGAAAUCCUAGAGCUUAACUCUGGAACUGCUUUUGAUACUGCAAGGCUUGAAUGUGGAAGAGGAGGAUGGAAUUUCUGGUGUAGCAGUGAAAUGCGUAGAUAUCAGAAAGAACACCAGUGGCGAAGGCGGUCCUCUGGGACGGUACUGACGCUGAGACGCGAAAGCGUGGGGAGCGAACAGG
rnacentral:rRNA from 1 species